ensembl:miRNA
AAAAAGUUUGUUCGGAUCAUAUGGCCAACCCUGAAUGAACUUUUUGG